rnacentral:rRNA from 1 species
AUUGAACGCUGGCGGCAGGCCUAACACAUGCAAGUCGAACGAGUGGCGGACGGGUGAGUAAUGUCUGGGAAACUGCCUGAUGGCGGGGGAUAACUACUGGAAACGGUAGAUAAUACCGCAUACCAUCGGAUGUGCCCAGAUGGGAUUAGCUUGUUGGUGGGGUACAGGCUAACCUAGGCGACGAUCCCUAGCUGGUCUGAGAGGAUGAACAGCCAGACUGGAACUGAGACACGGUCCAGACUCCUACGGGAGGAAGCAGUGGGGAAUAUUGCACAAUGGGCGCAAGCCUGAUGCAGCCAUGCCGCGUGUGUGAAGAAGGCCUUCGGGUUGUAAAGUACUUUAAGCUGGGAGGCGUUACCCGCAGAAUAAGCACCGGCUAACUCCGUGCCAGCAGCCGCGGUAAUAC